rnacentral:lncRNA from 1 species
AUAUAUUACACAUAAGCUUAAAUCAAAUAUCAUGAUUUAGAUACUUCAUGAUACCUUUAACAUCAAUAAAAUGUGAUUUCUCAAGUAAUGCUUGAUAUGAAUACUCAUUUUUGUACGACUCAUAAAAGCCUAAAAAAACAUAUUUCUACCAUCAAAAUAUAUUUUCAGAAAAUGAGUAUAUAAUUAUUUCGAAAAUCACAAAAAUAAAUAAAUAAUUGAAAAUGGCAAAUAAAGUAGUUGGUAGUGGAAGACACUUUUUGAUGGUGGAGAAAAUUCAUCCUAGUUUUAAGGAGGAGAUGGUUUUCUCCAUUAUUCUUUGAUAAAAGAUAGGUCUAAGGCUCUCAGCAAAAAAAAAAAGAGGGGGCAAAUCUGAAUAAAAAUGAUGCACUUUCUUCCUCCCUCUAACAACAUAGUCUUCAUCUUUACACACACUCAGAUUUUAUUUCUAUUUCAGCAUCUUCCUUCGGGACCUCUUUCAUUUUUUUUUCUUCUCAUCUCAAUACAUUACCUUCUAUGAUCUCUCAUCCUUUCAACAAAUCUCACAAAGAAAAAAAACCUCAACAUCUACUACUACUUCCACCUCAACCCGCAAAAGGUAUUUUAAUUUUCUUUGGCCUUAAGCUUGUGUCAGCAUCAAUAUCUCUCUCCUCUCACCCAAUAUCCUUCAUCACCAAACAACAAUCUUCAGAAAACAACGUAAAAAAUACAAAAAAAAUACAAAAAAAAAUUCACUCAUAAAGUCUCAUUUUUUCCUCUAACCGAUCAUGAACUCAAUGCGAGGAGUGAGAACCUCGCCGGAGCGUAGACUGGAGAAGAAGGAGAAAUGGUUGGCUCCUCUUCGACCAUGGCUAAGGAGAUUCUCACACCUUCGGUCUCCUGCGUCGGUUCUUCCACCUCCGGCCGAAGGCCAUAUUCGUAACCCAAUCAAAUUUGUCCAUGAGAGAAGGAAGAAGAAGAAUGGUUCUAUAACCAUGCCACCAUCAGAUUUUUCCAUGGAUGAGAGAGUAUAGAGUUAGGUUGGACCCCUCCCUGGACAAUAUUCACGUUCUCCUCUCCCGGUGUGGACUAGUGGCUGCCGCUGGAGAUGAAGGAAUUAGGGAUUUCAAUCCCUUUCUCCUUUUCCUUCUUUGUGUGUAGCGGGACAGACAGGGGUGAACCCCUUUAACCCAUUCUUUUUUCAUUCUAUUUAAUAGUUAUUAUUUGAUUUUUAUAAUCCUUUUCAAUUUGUUUAUUUAUUUUGGCAAUUACCCUAAUGUAAAACCCAAUCAGGACCUUCGUUAUCUACAUUUACUUUAUUAUUUUUGAUUUGUCUCUUGUGUUUGAC